UGGGGAAUAUUGCACAAUGGGCGCAAGCCUGAUGCAGCCAUGCCGCGUGUGUGAACAAGGCCUUCGGGUUGUAAAGCACUUUCAGCGGGGAGGAAGGCGUUAAGGUUAAUAACCUUGGCGAUUGACGUUACCCGCAGAAGAAGCACCGGCUAACUCCGUGCCAGCAGCCGCGGUAAUACGGAGGGUGCAAGCGUUAAUCGGAAUUACUGGGCGUAAAGCGCACGCAGGCGGUCUGUCAAGUCGGAUGUGAAAUCCCCGGGCUCAACCUGGGAACUGCAUUCGAAACUGGCAGGCUAGAGUCUUGUAGAGGGGGGUAGAAUUCCAGGUGUAGCGGUGAAAUGCGUAGAGAUCUGGAGGAAUACCGGUGGCGAAGGCGGCCCCCUGGACAAAGACUGACGCUCAGGUGCGAAAGCGUGGGGAGCAAACAGG
rnacentral:rRNA from 1 species